rnacentral:rRNA from 1 species
GACAGAGGGUGCAAACGUUGUUCGGAAUUACUGGGCGUAAAGCGCGUGUAGGCUGCUCAGAAAGUUGGAUGUGAAAGCCCUGGGCCUAACCUAGGAAGUGCAUUCAAAACUACUGAGCUGGAGUCCUGGAGAGGAAGGCGGAAUUCUCGGUGUAGAGGUGAAAUUCGUAGAUAUCGAGAGGAACACCGGUGGCGAAGGCGGCCUUCUGGACAGUGACUGACGCUGAGACGCGAAAGCGUGGGGAGCAAACAGG